AUGGCGGCGGCGGGCCGGCUCGAGUGGAGAUGGCGAGGAGCUUGGGGAGGCCAUGGUGGUCCUGGACGGCGGCGGCACGCCUGCUGGUCGGAGCAGGGGCGGCGGAGCGGAGCAAAGCAGCAGCUUGCACGGAAGGACGGCGCGGGGCUGCAGGAUCCGGUCGAGGGCAUGGCCAGCGGCGCGGCUUGGAGCAGAUCGGGCGCGGCGCUCCUCCUGGUGCUGGUUGUGUGCGCGUGGCGGCACUGGAGGGAGACGAGGGAGAGGCCAAGGGAUCGAGAGAGAGGGCUAGCAAGCGAGGGGUUAAGGGGAUCGAUCAGGCUAGGGUUAGGAAGGGUAUAG
rnacentral:rRNA from 1 species